AUGAACGCUGGCGGCGUGCCUAAUACAUGCAAGUCGAGCGAACGGGCGAGAAGCUUGCUUUUCUGAUGUUAGCGGCGGACGGGUGAGUAACACGUGGAUAACCUACCUAUAAGACUGGGAUAACUUCGGGAAACCGGAGCUAAUACCGGAUAAUAUUUUGAGCCGCAUGGUUCAAAAGUGAAAGACGGUCUUGCUGUCACUUAUAGAUGGAUCCGCGCUGCAUUAGCUAGUUGGUAAGGUAACGGCUUACCAAGGCAACGAUGCAUAGCCGACCUGAGAGGGUGAUCGGCCACACUGGAACUGAGACACGGUCCAGACUCCUACGGGAGGCAGCAGUAGGGAAUCUUCCGCAAUGGGCGAAAGCCUGACGGAGCAACGCCGCGUGAGUGAUGAAGGUCUUCGGAUCGUAAAACUCUGUUAUUAGGGAAGAACAUAUGUGUAAGUAACUGUGCACAUCUUGACGGUACCUAAUCAGAAAGCCACGGCUAACUACGUG
rnacentral:rRNA from 1 species